rnacentral:rRNA from 1 species
GAUGAACGCUAGCGGCAGGCUUAACACAUGCAAGUCGAGGGGCAGCAUAAUGGAUAGCAAUAUCUAUGGUGGCGACCGGCGCACUGGUGCGUAACGCGUAUGCAACCUACCUUUAACAGGGGGAUAACACUGAGAAAUUGGUACUAAUACCCCAUAAUAUCAUAGAAGGCAUCUUUUAUGGUUGAAAAUUCCGAUGGUUAGAGAUGGGCAUGCGUUGUCUUAGCUAGUUGGUGGGGUAACGGCUCACCAAGGCGACGAUACAUAGGGGGACUGAGAGGUUAACCCCCCACACUGGUACUGAGACACGGACCAGACUCCUACGGGAGGCAGCAGUGAGGAAUAUUGGUCAAUGGACGCAAGUCUGAACCAGCCAUGCCGCGUGCAGGAGGACGGCUCUAUGAGUUGUAAACUGCUUUUGUACGAGGGUAAACGCAGAUACGUGUAUCUGUCUGAAAGUAUCGUACGAAUAAGGAUCGGCUAACUCCGUG